UGGGAAACGUCCUCAUGUUCUCUAAGAGAC
rnacentral:piRNA from 1 species